CUACGGGUCGCACCAGGCGCGAAAACUUUACAAUGCAGGAAACUGUGAUAAAGGAACCCCGAGUGCCCGUACACGCGGGCUGUCUGGGUGUUUAAAAUGCACCCAAAGAAAGGGCCGGGCAAGACCGGUGCCAGCGCGCCGCGGUAAUACCGGCGGCUCGAGUGGUGACCACUUUUAUUGGGCUUAAAGCGUUCGUAGCUGGACUGCUAAGUCCCUUGGGAAAUCCGCCGGCUUAACCGGCGGGCGUCUAAGGGAUACUGGCAGUCUUGGGACCGGGAGAGGUAAGAGGUACUCCGGGGGUAGGAGUGAAAUCCUGUAAUCCCCGGGGGACCACCGGUGGCGAAGGCGUCUUACCAGAACGGCUCCGACAGUGAGGAACGAAAGCUGGGGGAGCGAACCGGAUUAGAUACCCCAGUAGUC
rnacentral:rRNA from 1 species